rnacentral:rRNA from 1 species
UACGAAGGGGGCUAGCGUUGCUCGGAAUCACUGGGCGUAAAGGGUGCGUAGGCGGGUCUUUAAGUCAGGGGUGAAAUCCUGGAGCUCAACUCCAGAACUGCCUUUGAUACUGAAGAUCUUGAGUUCGGGAGAGGUGAGUGGAACUGCGAGUGUAGAGGUGAAAUUCGUAGAUAUUCGCAAGAACACCAGUGGCGAAGGCGGCUCACUGGCCCGGUACUGACGCUGAGGUGCGAAAGCGUGGGGGAGCAAACAGG